GUGCCAGCCGCCGCGGUAAUACGGAGGGUGCAAGCGUUGUUCGGAAUUACUGGGCGUAAAGGGCGCGUAGGCGGCUAGGGAAGUCCGGUGUGAAAGCCCGGGGCUCAACCCCGGAAGUGCAUUGGAAACUCCCUGGCUUGAGUUCGGGAGAGGAGGGCAGAAUUCCCGGUGUAGGGGUGAAAUCCGUAGAUAUCGGGAGGAAAACCAGUGGCGAAGGCGGCCCUCUGGAACAGAACUGACGCUGAGGCGCGAAAGCGUGGGGAGCAAACAGGAUUAGAUACCCGGGUAGUCC
rnacentral:rRNA from 1 species